UCCGGCUUCUCGCCGGCGGUCCCCUUCGAGUGCCCGACAUAACUCGCUGGCAACAAAGGGCAGGGGUUGCGCUCGUUGCGGGACUUAACCCAACAUCUCACGGCACGAGCUGACGACAGCCAUGCAGCACCUGUGCUAGCCCCUUACGGACACGCGCUUUCACGCGCUUUAACUAGCAUGUCAAGCCUAGGUAAGGUUCUUCGCGUUGCAUCGAAUUAAGCCACGCGCUCCGCCGCUUGUGCGGGCCCCCGUCAA
rnacentral:misc_RNA from 1 species